rnacentral:tRNA from 3 species
GGAGAGGUCGCAUAGUGGCCUAGUGCGCGACAUUGGAAAUGUCGUAUAUCCGCAAGGGUAUCGAGGGUUCGAAUCCCUCCCUCUCCGCCA